GUCACGCGUCGCGCCAACGCUUUCCUUUUUCUUCCUCUCGCUCCGUUUUCUUUCCUCUCGCGAUUUUCUUUUUUUACUUUUCUCGAACGUUUUCGACCGCGUUCUUCUAUCGUUUCUCCUCUCCACACGAUUCGCCCUGUUUCCCCGUCGUUGCCUGUUUUUGCGCUUUUUUUACCGGCUCGCGCGCGCGCCGGCUUUUCUACUCCACUCGCUUCCGGCUUUUUCGUGCCUCCAGUUCGAGUUCGAGUUUCGCCUGUCCGCGGGCAUCGCGACGCUCCGCGAGCGACUGCAGCCGCCACGGAUCAACAGCUCGAAGAGGGUUGCUCGAGAAACAACGCAGGCAAUUUAUGAAGAGGGUAUGGAAGAGUAAGUGGGUGCAGGAAUUGAGUCACUCAAAAAACGAUACACCCGCGUGUGCUUUAUCGUUCCCGACGAGUUGCAGACCUAACCCUAGGACCAGUCACGUGCUGUGCGUGCCUCGUCGAGCUUUUCCCAGAUUUGCAGCCCUCGAAUUGUCCGACGGCCUAUCUUCGACGAGGAGGACCCAACCACCCCAUUGGAUUCGGUUGAGGCAAAAAUAAUAGACUCGUCGCACGUUCUCGAGGAUCAACGAUCCUUCACGAUUAAACUGCACAAAAAUAACCUAAGAUUCUAGACGAUCUUCGUGGAAGGCUGCACAGCUAAAACAAACAUCCAUACACAAGAAUAACAUCUUUCGCUAAUCACAACACUUGGAGCGCCCUGUACACGAACGAGAUGGCGACGAUAGAAAAACAUCGUACCGGUCGUUGAAGUCUCUUGGAAAAAUGACGUUGCCUUUCGGUAGUUAAUGAAGUGGUCUCGCGUGAAAAUUUAUGCUACGGCAUAAUAUUAUUCGAUGUAACCACAGAUAUAACCCGAUCGAAUCUAUCGAUGUUCCUCCACUUUUAUUCUUCCAUAAUCGAACAUUUUAUGAAACUCAUGGCUGUUACAAUUCUUUCGUUCUUCUCAGAAAUUUUAUCAAAUAUAAUCUUUUAUGAAAUAUAAAGCGGGGGAAUAAAUAAAAUAUGACAUCUAUGUGUAUACUUUGUUUUAUUAAAAUCUCAAGAGUACAUGUAACUUAUCGAUUAAAACAAGUCUUUAAAAAAAAGUCGAUACAGUUCUGUUUAGUUCAGCUAAUUAGUAAUUCAGCAACACAAAUUUCACGCACACUCGAUAAUAAAAUACAUGAACGUCGUAAAAAGGGCACUUUCGAUAGCUGCAUUCGAUAAAAAAAUACAAUUGGAAACCUUGCGAUCUUGAUGGCACUUCCACAUCGAUUGAGUAUAUGGUGCAUUAAAAUAUACGGUGAUCAACUUACUGUAAGUACUUCUAUGUGAUUACUAUCGUUAAUUACGGAUAUAGUAGUGAAACGGUGUUCGAUUAUUUAAUCUUCCAACGAUGGCUAGAUUCUUGCAAUUUUAGUAGAUAUUUUGCAAUGUGAAGCUUAAUUUAUUUUGAAAAUCUAGCUCCAUCGUUCGAGAGUUAUUAUUGCGAACUGUAACUUUUGAAUUGAGAUUACAAAUUUGUCAGAAAACCCUUAGAAAACUAUGAGCUACCAUUUUAUCGAUACAAUAAAUAUAUUUUAUGAAAAUAGAACAGGCUAUUAUUAUUGCGAUUCGAGUGAUAACGAGUCUACAAGGUUUCCCAAUAAUUCAAAUUAAUUUUGCCACAAGAAAUAUAAUUCGAAAGUGAAAGAUCAAAUUUUGAAGCACCCUGUAUUGUCGUUAUCACCCUUAUUUGCGUAUAUAUUUACAAUGUUAAGUAGAUUUCGAUCAAGAUUUGGCUGAUUACAGAUUCUACCAUUUUGUACAGGAAAUCGAAAAAUAGACAAAGGGUUUCGUUGGUUACAAACUACGACACGAAAAUAUUAAGUUAACAACUAAAUUCACAUUUCCCUCAUCCCUAAAUUUCUACCAUAGAAAACUGUGAUAAAUCAUUGGACAUAAUUUAGUUGUCAACCUAAUACGACUUUGCUUACGAAAAUACUGUUUUUUACCUGAAACUCGUAUUUGAAGGAAAACUUAUAAACUACGCGUGUGCAUAAUAAAUACAUAAUGCGAGUAACUAUCUUGUAAAGUGACUCACGUUCAUUUCUACAUAUUUUUUAAACAUAGUAGUCAAAAAGGAGUUGAUGAAAUAAUUUGUUUGUUUUCAUUAUCUUUGUAUACAUUGUAAUAAAACAUAAGUAUUCUAAACAAACUAAUAUGUCGAUCUCGCUUGAAUAAACAACGUGAGUCACCGAGAUAUUAUGUUUCUAUAAUGAUAUAUAUUAUUUGAUAACGGGAAGUAGAAUCUGUGUACAAGAUAAUAAAAUGCUAAGUAUCUAAUCUAGAAAACUUUAGUUGUUGUUUACACGAGAUACGCUAAUUAGUUAUUUAAUCAAUAUAUUCGAAGUUGGUAGAAAUUCGAUUGCAAAUACGAUAACUGCGCAAUCCGCUACGAUAAGAUGGAUACAUUUAUUACUAAAUUAAAGCGAUACAGCGAGAAAAAGAAAAAUGUUAAUCGUUGCUCGAGAAUGUACCUACAUAAUGACGAAAAAUCACGAGAAUGUGGCAAGUUAGGUAUAAAUGCUGUUUGAUAAAUAAUUUUAUUGUGAAUAGGUGAUUUUAUUUUUGUCGAACGAAUAUAAUAUUUUUACACUGAUAAACAGCAAACAAUUUCGUGAUAUUUCUGUCAUUUAUAACUAUGAGCCUAUGUUAGUUCAUAAAAAAAUAUAUUUUUGAGCUAUUCAAAACUAUCUUUUCCCAGUUGAUCGUUUGUGGAGAAAAUCUGAUUGCACACAAUUUAAUAAUUACCCUAUUGGAAUUUUUGCUAAAUUAUAAAACAUCGGUAUUUCACAAAUCCGAUAUAAAA